rnacentral:rRNA from 1 species
AGCGAACGCUGGCGGCAGGCCUAACACAUGCAAGUCGAACGAAGUCUUCGGACUUAGUGGCGGACGGGUGAGUAACACGUGGGAACGUACCGUUUGGUUCGGAACAACUCAGGGAAACUUGAGCUAAUACCGGAUGAGCCCUUAGGGGGAAAGAUUUAUCGCCGAAAGAGCGGCCCGCGUUAGAUUAGCUAGUUGGUGAGGUAAAGGCUCACCAAGGCUACGAUCUAUAGCUGGUCGGAGAGGAUGAUCAGCCACACUGGGACUGAGACACGGCCCAGACUCCUACGGGAGGCAGCAGUGGGGAAUCUUGCGCAAUGGGCGAAAGCCUGACGCAGCCAUGCCGCGUGAAUGAUGAAGGUCUUAGGAUUGUAAAAUUCUUUUACCAGGGACGAUAAUGACGGUACCUGGAGAAAAAGCCCCGGCUAACUUCGUGCCAGCCGCCGCGGUAAGAC